ACUCAAAUGAAUUGACGGGGGCCCGCACAAGCGGUGGAUGAUGUGGUUUAAUUCGAUGCAACGCGAAAAACCUUACCUACCCUUGACAUGCUAGGAAGCUCGCAGAAAUGUGAGUGUGCCCGAAAGGGAACCUAGACACAGGUGCUGCAUGGCUGUCGUCAGCUCGUGUCGUGAGAUGUUGGGUUAAGUCCCGCAACGAGCGCAACCCUUGCCAUUAGUUGCUACAUUUAGUUGGGCACUCUAAUGGGACUGCCGGUGACAAACCGGAGGAAGGUGGGGAUGACGUCAAGUCCUCAUGGCCCUUAUGGGUAGGGCUACACACGUCAUACAAUGGCGCAUACAGAGGGCUGCCAACCCGCGAGGGGGAGCAAAUCCCAGAAAGUGCGUCGUAGUCCGGAUUGUAGUCUGCAACUCGACUACAUGAAGUCGGAAUCGCUAGUAAUCGCGGAUCAGCAUGUCGCGGUGAAUACGUUCCCGGGCCUUGUACACACCGCCCGU
rnacentral:rRNA from 1 species